AAGUACAUGAGUAACUACUGCUAAAGCUAUUGGCCCCAAAAGCCUGUCUCCUCUAAAUUUACCUCAAUUUCUCUUUCAAUUUUGUUACUCUUUUGCUUUAAUUCUUCUCUGUCUCCUCAAACAACAAAUGCCUAGCUGCCAUGUAGCCGAUACUAUUGCAACCACAACCCUCCCCUUUUUUUCUGGUCAGUACUCUUCAUGAGUAGCUGCACUUAACACAUACUCUCUAUUCUAGUUGCUUAUGUUACAUAAGCCUCUUUUAGAUUGCCUCUUCCAUUUUCUUUUUUAUUUACAUAUCUACCAUAUAUUAUGAACAAAAGAGGCCAUGAAACUAAAUCCAAAACUAUCUGAUCAAUUAACUCUUUUGUUGGAGAAGUUUUCAUGUAUAUUUAUAGCUUUUAAUUUCCUAGUUUUGUGGUAGAUUUUUAACUAACAGUAUAUUGGACUGUUCUAUAUCAUUCAAAGUUUAACUUGUUACCUUGUAACCUCCAAUGAUGGAUCUUUUCAGUGCUGGGAAAUCAAAGAGUCCAGUCAUCCAGACCCUGCACCUGGAGAUGUUCCUUAUCAUACAAUUAUUGCAUCCAGAGGUUUAAUUCUGCACCAUCCAGCUGCGACACCAUCAUUCCAUUUAAGCUUUGUUCCUUACCUUUUCUGCCACCACAAUUAAGCUUUCAAUAUGGCUCAGUCCAUAAUUGUAUCCUUUGCACCAGAAUUAUUCAUUGUCAUUUUAGAACCAGAAAAAGAUGUCCCAAAAUCUUCAAUGGAGAUUACUGUCCCUGAGAUAUUUCUCGCAUGGUCAAAAUCAGGAAAGAUUGAAGAUCUCUCAAGAAAAUUUGAGUUUGUUCAACCAAAGAUGAAUACAGUACUCAAACAUUUGCAUUCUUGUCAAGACUGGAUUUCCAAAAUCUUAGAAAUUCACGUAUCAACAGCAAAAUAAUAAAAGCAGAUCCUAAAAAGAUUUUUAAUAAAAACUGAAAUAAUCUAGAUGUAUUUCUAAAACCUUUCUGUUAUAAGAUCUGUAGCAAACAAGCUGUCAGCAAAAUUGAUACUAUAUGAGCAACCUCACUGAGCAUUUUCCUUAAUUUGAA